UACGGAGGGGACUAGCGUUGUUCGGAAUUACUGGGCGUAAAGCGCACGUAGGCGGUUUUGUAAGUCAGGGGUGAAAUCCCGGGGCUCAACCUCGGAACUGCCUUUGAUACUGCAAAUCUCGAGUCCGGAAGAGGUGAGUGGAAUUCCUAGUGUAGAGGUGAAAUUCGUAGAUAUUAGGAAGAACAUCAGUGGCGAAGGCGACUUUCUGGACAGAGACUGACACUGAGGCACGAAAGCAUGGGGAGCAAACAGG
rnacentral:rRNA from 1 species